rnacentral:rRNA from 1 species
AGGACAAACGCUGGCGGCGUGCGUAACACAUGCAAGUCGAACGAGCCGAGAGAUCGGCGAGUGGCGGACGGGUGAGGAACACGUGGAUAACCGACCCUUGACUGGGGAAUACCAAGACGAAAGUUUUGUUAAUACCGCAUACGCUGGGGACAGGAAAGCUCUUCGGAGCGGUCGAGGACGGGUCUGCGAACGAUUAGCUAGUUGGUGUGGGUAAUGGCUCACCAAGGCGAUGAUCGUUAGCUGGUCUGAGAGGAUGAUCAGCCACACUGGGAUUGAGAACGGCCCAGACUCCUACGGGGGGCAGCAGUGAGGAAUCUUCGUCAAUGGGCGCAAGCCUGAACGAGCGACGCCGCGUGGGGGACGACGCAUUUCGGUGUGUAAACCCCUGUUGCUCGGGACGAAAAUUGGUUUGACCAAUCUGACGGUACCGGGUGAGGAAGCACCGGCUAACUCCGUGCCAGCAGCCGC